rnacentral:rRNA from 1 species
UACGUAGGCAGCGAGUGUUGUUCGGAAUUACUGGGCGUAAAGAGUGUGUAGGCGGUGCUCCCAGUCUGUUGUGAAAUCUCCCGGCUUAACUGGGAGGGUGCAGCGGAAACUAGAGUGCUAGAGGGUGGGAGAGGUAAGCGGAAUUCCUGGUGUAGCGGUAGAAAUGCUUAGAUAUGACAUAGAACACCAAUUGCGUAGGCAGCUUACUACACGAUCAUUGACGCUGAGGCACGAAAGCGUGGGGAGCAAACAGG